rnacentral:rRNA from 1 species
UACGGAGGGUGCAAGCAUUGAUCGGAUUUAUUGGGCGUAAAGGGCGCGUAGGCGGAAUGAAAAAGUCAGAUGUGAAAAUCCCGGGGCUCAACCUCGGAACAGCAUUUGAAAACUCUCAUUCUAGAGGGUAGAUGGAGAAAAACGGAAUUCCACAAGUAGCGGUGAAAUGCGUAGAUAUGUGGAAGAACACCGGUGGCGAAGGCGGUUUUCUAAUUUACACCUGACGCUGAGGCGCAAAGCAAGGGGAUCAAAACAGGG